rnacentral:misc_RNA from 1 species
GAUGAAGAACGCAGCGAAAUGCGAUAAGUAAUGUGAAUUGCAGAAUUCUGUGAAUCAUCGAAUCUUUGAACGCACAUUGCGCCCGCCAGCACUCUGGCGGGCAUGCCUGUUCGAGCGUCAUUUCAACCAUCAAGCCCCCAGGGGCUUGUGCUGGGGCCCUGCGGCUGCCCGCAGGCCCUGAAAACCAGUGGCGGGCUCGCUAGUCACACCGAGCGCAGUAGCACAUCUCGCUCAGGGCGUGCGGCGGGCUCCUGCCGUGAAACCCCCCACUGUAACCCCAAAGGUUGACCUCGGAUCAGGUAGGAAUACCCGCUGAACUUAAGCAUAUCAAUAAGCGGAGGA